CCUACGGGAGGCAGCAGUGAGGAAUAUUGGUCAAUGGACGCAAGUCUGAACCAGCCAUGUCGCGUGCAGGAAGACUGCUCUAUGAGUUGUAAACUUCUUUUGUACGAGGGUAAACUCAGAUAUGUGUAUCUGUCUGAAAGUAUCGUACGAAUAAGGAUCGGCUAACUCCGUGCCAGCAGCCGCGGUAAUACGGAGGAUUCAAGCGUUAUCCGGAUUUAUUGGGUUUAAAGGGUGCGUAGGCGGUCGGAUAAGUUAGAGGUGAAAUCCCGAGGCUCAACUUCGAAAUUGCCUGUGAUACUGUUAGGCUAGAGAGUAGUUGCGGUAGGCGGAAUGUAUGGUGUAGCGGUGAAAUGCUUAGAGAUCAUGCAGAACACCGAUUGCGAAGGCAGCUUACCAAGCUACUACUGACGUUGAGGCACGAAAGCGUGGGUAGCAAACAGGAUUAGAUACCCCUGUAGUC
rnacentral:rRNA from 1 species